rnacentral:rRNA from 1 species
UACGGAGGGGGCUAGCGUUAUCCGGAAUGACUGGGCGUAAAGCGCCCGUAGGCGGACUGCACAGUCAGCCGUGAAAGUCCUGGGCUUAACCUCGGGACUGCGUCUGAGACGUGUGAUCUAGAGUGAGGAAGAGGGUGGUGGAAUUUCCAGUGUAGAGGUGAAAUUCGUAGAUAUCGGAAAGAACACCGGUGGCGAAGGCGGCGACCUGGUACGUGACUGACGCUCAGGGGCGAAAGCGAGGGGAGCAAACAGG